UAGGGAAUCUUCCGCAAUGGACGAAAGUCUGACGGAGCAACGCCGCGUGAGUGAUGAAGGUUUUCGGAUCGUAAAACUCUGUUGUUAGGGAAGAACAAGUGCCGGAGUAACUGCCGGCACCUUGACGGUACCUAACCAGAAAGCCACGGCUAACUACGUGCCAGCAGCCGCGGUAAUACGUAGGUGGCAAGCGUUGUCCGGAAUUAUUGGGCGUAAAGCGCGCGCAGGCGGUUUCUUAAGUCUGAUGUGAAAGCCCCCGGCUCAACCGGGGAGGGUCAUUGGAAACUGGGAAACUUGAGUGCAGGAGAGAAGAGCGGAAUUCCACGUGUAGCGGUGAAAUGCGUAGAGAUGUGGAGGAACACCAGUGGCGAAGGCGGCUCUUUGGCCUGUAACUGACGCUGAGGCGCGAAAGCGUGGGGAGCAAACAG
rnacentral:rRNA from 1 species